UAAUUUUUUUUUAUCAAUCAGGAGAUAUGAACUGUUUACUGUUCCACUAAAGUCUGUCAGACCUAUGCAGCAGAGGGCCUGAUAGACCCAGGAAUGUCAUUUGUUAAAUUUUGCCCACCCUCCUUUUUUCAUGAGAGAGCUUGAGGCUGCUAAGCAGCACUCUAAAGCAUCAAAGCAGGUUAGGGAGGAUUGAGAAACAAGAAAGGCUUAACCGGAAGCUGAUCUUCCAAGUCAGUUUCGGGAUAAAGGUUUGGACUGCAGCAUUUGGAGCCCAGUUGUCCUCCUGUCCCUCUAGACUGGAAUAAGUCUAGGUCACAGAAUAUCCCAGAGCCUCACCACUCUGAGCAAACCUUCCCUGUGUGAAAGCCAGUGACCUACCUGAGGAGGUGAAGAUAGAGCUCUUAGCUCAGGGUCACAUUGCUCGUGCAUGUGCUCUCAGCACACAGAUGACAGUCCAACCCUGCCCAAAGAAAGAUGUUCCAGUGGUACCAGCACUGCCUUUUGCACCCUAUCCACAUGCUGCUCGCACAAGUCCUGUCAAGGCUGGUGGUCUGCUGUAUGUCCUGGACCGUUCUAGGUGGACACGUCAAAUGAGAGAUGCUAUUGACCAACUCAUGGCAAAGCAUCAUGGGCAAAAAGACUUUCUUGCCAAAGUUGAUGCAGAGUAUGCUGUUGUUGUUCAGGCUGCAUCCAGGGAUCCAAACAGCCUCCUGCACCUACCACUAAACAGCAUAUAUCUCGCUAUGUGAAGCACCUGGCUAAGAUGACAAUCACCAUCUCGUCUCUAAACACCAGUAUAGAGAAGCUUUUGGAGACCCAACAGCUGUGGCAUCACCUCACUGAAGGAAGUGAGACUGUAGAUGUUCCUGUGGCAACUAUUCCACCUGCCACUGUUAACCCGCCCAGCAAUAAACCACUGGAUGCCUCUUUGACAGUAUCAGAAAUUGAGAAAAUUGUCAAAGACAUUGUUCAAAAGCAGCAGAAUCAGCAA